rnacentral:rRNA from 1 species
AUGCCGCCGCCGCCGCUGCCGACGCUGCCGGACGAGCUUCUCGAGGAGAUCUUCCUCCGCGUCCCACCGGACGAGCCCGAGCACCUGGUGCGCGCCUCGCUCGGCCUCCUCUCCGGCGCUCGCUUCCGCGGCCUCUACCGCGACUUCCAUGGAGCUCCCCCGAUGCUGGGAUUCCUCUACAACUGGCUCUUUUUCGGCGGCCCCAAGGAGGAUGACCCCGUGGCAAACUUCGUCCCCACCGCCAAAUUCGGCGCGCUCGUUCCUGCCGCCGAUGGCUGGGACCGUGAGUACACUCCGUGGGACUGCCGCCAUGGCCGCGUCCUCCUCGGGAACUACACGGGGCUCGUCGUUUGGGACCCCAUGACAGGCCGCCGGAUGAAGCUGGAGGCGCCCGUCAGCUAUGUCGGCGCCGCGGUGCUCUGCGCUGUGAGGGGCUGUGACCACCGUGCGUGUCAUGAGGGCCCCUUCCGGGUUGUCGUCAUCAACCUGGACAUGAAUGAGGAUGAUGGUGAUUGUGUUGCACACGCUUGCGUGUCUUCGCCGGUGACCAACAAGUGGAGCGAGCCGUGCUCUGAUUCUCAUUUUGAUGGAUGGAGCAAGCCGUGCUCUGCUCUUCAUCUUGUUAUGACCGAUCCAUUCAUUGAUUCACUGCCUCCUGUCCUCAUUGACAACGCACUUCACUUCAGGCUUACGUAUGAUGAUGAGCGUGUAGGGAUUCUCAAGUAUGACUUGAGCUCUAAUUGCUUAUCACUGAUUGAUGCGCCGCUUACGAGGCCGGCCAUUUUCUGGCCCGCUAUCCUCAUGGCAAUGGAGGAUGGCAGCUUGGGGUUGGCACACUUGGGUGGGUUAACCCUCUACCUAUGGUCAAGACAGAUGGGUUCCGACGGAGUUGCGUUAUGGACUCGGCGUAAAGUCAUCAGUCUCAAGGAACUUCUCCCCAUUCAAAAUCCCAAGAAAAGAAUUAGCGUUAUUGGGUCUGUGGAAGGCCAUGAUAUCAUUUUCGUGACCACAGAUCUUGGCAUCUACGAGAUUAAUUUGAAGACACUACGGUGGAAGAAGCUAUGGAAGAGAGAAAAUUUCCGCUCUUUGAUUCCAUACAUGAGCUUCUACAAUCGACAAGAAAUGGUGAGGCCCUGCAAGGCAUUGACAACAUAUGGUUGA